UACAGGGGUGCAAAGCGUUGCUCGGAAUCAUUGGGCGUAAAGCGCACGUAGGCGGUUCGUUAUGUCGGAUGUGAAAGCCCUUGGCUUAACCGAGGAAGUGCAUUCGAAACUGCAGAGCUGGAGUCCUGGAGAGGAAGGCGGAAUUCUCGGUGUAGAGGUGAAAUUCGUAGAUAUCGAGAGGAACACCGGUGGCGAAGGCGGCCUUCUGGACAGUGACUGACGCUCAGAGACGAAAGCAUGGGGAGCGAAGUGGG
rnacentral:rRNA from 1 species